CCUACGGGAGGCUGCAGUGGGGAAUAUUGGACAAUGGGCGAAAGCCUGAUCCAGCCAUGCCGCGUGUGUGAAGAAGGCCUUCGGGUUGUAAAGCACUUUCAGUGGGGAAGAAAGCCUUGGGGCUAAUACCCUCGAGGAAGGACAUCACCCACAGAAGAAGCACCGGCUAACUCCGUGCCAGCAGCCGCGGUAAUACGGAGGGUGCGAGCGUUAAUCGGAAUUACUGGGCGUAAAGCGCGCGUAGGCGGUCUGAUAAGCCGAUGUGAAAGCCCCGGGCUCAACCUGGGAACGGCAUCCGGAAACUUCCGGCGAGGGUGCAGGAGAGGAAAGUAGAAUUCCCGGGGUAGAGGUGAAAUGCGGAGAGAUCGGGAGGAAUACCAGUGGCGAAGGCGGCCUUCUGGACUGACACUGACGCUGAGGUGCGAAAGCGUGGGUAGCAAACAGGAUUAGAUACCCGAGUAGUC
rnacentral:rRNA from 1 species